rnacentral:rRNA from 1 species
CCUACGGGAGGCAGCAGUGAGGAAUAUUGGUCAAUGGACGAGAGUCUGAACCAGCCAAGUCGCGUGAAGGAUGACUGCCCUCUGGGUUGUAAACUUCUUUUAUAAGGGAAUAAAACGAGCCACGUGUGCCUUUUUGCAUGUACUUUAUGAAUAAGGAUCGGCUAACUUCGUGCCAGCAGCCGCGGUAAUACGGGGGAUCCGAGCGUUAUCCGGAUUUUUUGGGUUUAAAGGGAGCGUAGAUGGGUUGUUAAGUCAGUUGUGAAAGUUUGCGGCUCAACCGUAAAAUUGCAAUUGAUACUGGCAGUCUUGAGUACGGGUGAGGUAGGCGGAAUUCGUGGUGUAGCGGUGAAAUGCUUAGAUAUCACGAAGAACCCCGAUUGCGAAGGCAGCUUACUAAACUGUGACUGACAUUGAUGCUCGAAAGUGUGGGGAGCAAACAGGAUUAGAUACCCCAGUAGUC